AUACGGAGGACGCGAGCGUUAUCCGGAUUCAUUGGGUUUAAAGGGUGCGCAGGCGGCCGUGCAAGUCAGCGGUGAAAGCCCGGGGCUCAACCCCGGAAGUGCCGUUGAUACUGCAUGGCUGGAAUGCGGUCGAGGCGGGCGGAACGUGGCGUGUAGCGGGGGAAUGCGUAGAUAUGCCACAGAACGCCGAUAGCGGAGGCAGCUCGCCAGGCCUGCAUUGACGCUCGGGCACGAAAGCGUGGGGAUCGAACAGGAUUAGAUACCCUGGUAGUCCACGCCGUAAACGAUGGGCGCUCGUCGUCGGCGGCAGACAGUCGGCGGCCAAGCGAAAGCGAUAAGCGCCCCACCUGGGGAGUACGGUCGCAAGGCUGAAACUCAAAUGAAUUGGCGGGG
rnacentral:rRNA from 1 species